rnacentral:rRNA from 1 species
CGCCUGUUUAACAAAAACAUCUCUUUUUGAGCAUAAAUAAAAAGUUUAACCUGCCCACUGAUAAAAUUAAAUGGCCGCAGUAUAUUAACUGUGCAAAGGUAGCAUAAUCAUUAGUCUUUUAAUUGAAGGCUGGAAUGAAUGGUUGGACGAAAUAUUUACUGUUUCAUAUUAAUUUUUGAUAAAAUUUUAUUUUUUAGUAAAAAAGCUAAAAUAAUAUUAAAAGACGAGAAGACCCUAUAAAUCUUUAUAUUUUAAUUAAUUUUUAUAAAUUAGAAAUUAAAUUAUUUAAUUUAAUUUAAAUAUUUUAUUGGGGUGAUAUUAAAAUUUAAUUAACUUUUAAUUUUAUUGAACAUUAAUUUAUGAAUUAUUGAUCCAAUAAUAUUGAUUAUUAGAAUAAGUUACUUUAGGGAUAACAGCGUAAUUUUUUUGGAGAGUUCAUAUUGAUAAAAAAUAUUGCGACCUCGAUGUUGGAUUAAGAAAUAAAUUUAGGUGUAGAAGCUUAAAAAUUAAGUCUGUUCGACUUUUAAAUUCUUACGUGAUCUGAGUUUAAGA